GACGAACGCUGGCGGCGUGCUUAACACAUGCAAGUCGAACGGAAAGGCCCUGCUUUUGUGGGGUGCUCGAGUGGCGAACGGGUGAGUAACACGUGAGUAACCUGCCCUUGACUUUGGGAUAACUUCAGGAAACUGGGGCUAAUACCGGAUAGGAGCUCCUGCUGCAUGGUGGGGGUUGGAAAGUUUCGGCGGUUGGGGAUGGACUCGCGGCUUAUCAGCUUGUUGGUGGGGUAGUGGCUUACCAAGGCUUUGACGGGUAGCCGGCCUGAGAGGGUGACCGGACAGGGGGGGGGGGAGGGACGGCCAGGGCGCGGAGUGGGGGGAGAGGUGGGGAUUAUGGAAGAGGGAGGGGAGGGGGGAGGCAGCAACGCGGGGUGGGGGAGGAGGGCGUGCGGGUGUAGAACCGCAGUCGCCGGGGACGAGGGGGGAGGGACGGGAAGGGGAAAAGAAGCACCGGCAAACAACGGGCCGGCAGCCGAGGUAAUAAUCGGAAGACCACCGUCUAACC
rnacentral:rRNA from 1 species